rnacentral:rRNA from 1 species
GCACAAUGGGCGCAAGCCUGAUGCAGCCAUGCCGCGUGUAUGAAGAAGGCCUUCGGGUUGUAAAGUACUUUCAGCAGUGAGGAAGGUGGAUAUGUUAAUAGCAUAUUCAUUUGACGUUAGCUGCAGAAGAAGCACCGGCUAACUCCGUGCCAGCAGCCGCGGUAAUACGGAGGGUGCGAGCGUUAAUCGGAAUUACUGGGCGUAAAGCGCAUGCAGGUGGUUUGUUAAGUCAGAUGUGAAAGCCCGGGGCUCAACCUCGGAAUUGCAUUUGAAACUGGCAAACUAGAGUACUGUAGAGGGGGUAGGAAUUUCAGGUGUAGCGGUGAAAUGCGUAGAGAUCUGAAGGAAUACCGGUGGCGAAGGCGGCCCCCUGGACAGAUACUGACACUCAGAUGCGAAAGCGUGGGGAGCAAACAGGAUUAGAUACCCUGGUAG